AGUUUGAUCAUGGCUCAGAACGAACGCUGGCGGCAGGCUUAACACAUGCAAGUCGAACGCGUGUAGCAAUACACGAGUGGCGCACGGGUGAGUAACGCGUGGAUAUCUGCCUUUUGGUUCGGAAUAACCCCGGGAAACUGGGGCUAAUACCGGAUGGUUCCUUCGGGAUAAAGAUUUAUCGCCAAAAGAUGAGUCCGCGUCCGAUUAGCUAGUUGGUGAGGUAAUGGCUCACCAAGGCGACGAUCGGUAGCUGGUCUGAGAGGACGAUCAGCCACACUGGGACUGAGACACGGCCCAGACUCCUACGGGAGGCAGCAGUGGGGAAUAUUGGACAAUGGGGGCAACCCUGAUCCAGCCAUGCCGCGUGAGUGAUGAAGGCCUUCGGGUUGUAAAGCUCUUUUGGCGGGGACGAUGAUGACGGUACCCGCAGAAUAAGCCCCGGCUAACUUCGUGCCAGCAGCCGCGGUAAGACGAAGGGGGCUAGCGUUGUUCGGAAUUACUGGGCGUAAAGCGAGUGUAGGUGGUUGUCCAAGUUGGAUGUGAAAGCCUUGAGCUCAACUCAAGAAAUGCAUUCAGGACUGGG
rnacentral:rRNA from 1 species